CCUACGGGCGUCAGCAGUAGGGAAUCUUUCACAAUGGGCGAAAGCCUGAUGGAGCAACGCCGCGUGCAGGAUGAAGGCCUUCGGGUUGUAAACUGCUUUUAUAAGCGAGAAAUAUGAUGGUAACUUAUGAAUAAGGAUCGGCUAACUACGUGCCAGCAGCCGCGGUCAUACGUAGGAUCCGAGCAUUAUCCGGAGUGACUGGGUGUAAAGAGUUGCGUAGGUGGCAUAAUAAGUAGCUAGUGAAAUCUGGUGGCUCAACCAUUCAGACUAUUAGCUAAACUGUUAAGCUCGAGACCGUUAGGGGUAACUGGAAUUUCUAGUGUAGGAGUGAAAUCCGUAGAUAUUAGAAGGAACACCAAUAGCGUAGGCAGGUUGCUGGGACGGUUCUGACACUAAGGCACGAAAGCGUAGGGAGCAAACGGGAUUAGAUACCCCAGUAGUC
rnacentral:rRNA from 1 species